ACCCCUAAGGCGAGGCCGAAAGGCGUAGUCGAUGGGAAACGGGUUAAUAUUCCCGUACUUGGUGUUACUGCGAAGGGGGGACGGAGAAGGCUAUGUUGGCCGGGCGACGGUUGUCCCGGUUUAAGCGUGUAGGUAUGUGUUCCAGGUAAAUCCGGUUCACUUUAACACUGAGGCGUGACGACGAGGCACUACGGUGCUGAAGCAACAAAUGCCCUGCUUCCAGGAAAAGCCUCUAAGCAUCAGGUAACAUCAAAUCGUACCCCAAACCGACACAGGUGGUCAGGUAGAGAAUACCAAGGCGCUUGAGAGAACUCGGGUGAAGGAACUAGGCAAAAUGGUGCCGUAACUUCGGGAGAAGGCACGCUGACACGUAGGUGAAGUGAUUUACUCACGGAGCUGAAGUCAGCCGAAGAUACCAGCUGGCUGCAACUGUUUAUUAAAAACACAGCACUGUGCAAACACGAAAGUGGACGUAUACGGUGUGACGCCUGCCCGGUGCCGGAAGGUUAAUUGAUGGGGUCAGCGCAAGCGAAGCUCCUGAUCGAAGCCCCGGUAAACGGCGGCCGUAACUAUAACGGUCCUAAGGUAGCGAAAUUCCUUGUCGGGUAAGUUCCGACCUGCACGAAUGGCGUAAUGAUGGCCAGGCUGUCUCCACCCGAGACUCAGUGAAAUUGAACUCGCUGUGAAGAUGCAGUGUACCCGCGGCAAGACGGAAAGACCCCGUGAACCUUUACUAUAGCUUGACACUGAACAUUGAGCCUUGAUGUGUAGGAUAGGUGGGAGGCUUUGAAGUGUGGACGCCAGUCUGCAUGGAGCCGACCUUGAAAUACCACCCUUUAAUGUUUGAUGUUCUAACGUGGACCCGUGAUCCGGGUUGCGGACAGUGUCUGGUGGGUAGUUUGACUGGGGCGGUCUCCUCCUAAAGAGUAACGGAGGAGCACGAAGGUUGGCUAAUCCUGGUCGGACAUCAGGAGGUUAGUGCAAUGGCAUAAGCCAGCUUGACUGCGAGCGUGACGGCGCGAGCAGGUGCGAAAGCAGGUCAUAGUGAUCCGGUGGUUCUGAAUGGAAGGGCCAUCGCUCAACGGAUAAAAGGUACUCCGGGGAUAACAGGCUGAUACCGCCCAAGAGUUCAUAUCGACGGCGGUGUUUGGCACCUCGAUGUCGGCUCAUCACAUCCUGGGGCUGAAGUAGGUCCCAAGGGUAUGGCUGUUCGCCAUUUAAAGUGGUACGCGAGCUGGGUUUAGAACGUCGUGAGACAGUUCGGUCCCUAUCUGCCGUGGGCGCUGGAGAACUGAGGGGGGCUGCUCCUAGUACGAGAGGACCGGAGUGGACGCAUCACUGGUGUUCGGGUUGUCAUGCCAAUGGCACUGCCCGGUAGCUAAAUGCGGAAGAGAUAAGUGCUGAAAGCAUCUAAGCACGAAACUUGCCCCGAGAUGAGUUCUCCCUGAGACUUUAGGUCUCCUGAAGGAACGUU
rnacentral:rRNA from 1 species